UAUAAAUACUGAAUUUAUCUUCAUAAGGAUCACGACCCUGGCGAAAGCACGGGAAUUUUUUUAUUCAAUUCCUCCGUGAACGUGCAUUUUCAUUUCGGCAUAGCUUGUAA